rnacentral:lncRNA from 1 species
AUGCUUAUACAAGUUUACUUUUUAUUUACUUUUUUAAAUUUACUUUUAUUUACUUUCAGGUUGUAAAAGAAGAAAGGAUUAAAAAAGAAAAAGAAAUCACCCAGCCAUGUUUUGCCCCUACAGUAGAAACACCAACCGCAUGAAGCCUCGUGAAAGCAGAGACUUAAAGACCUUCAGGCAUGGAAGAAGCCUCCACUGUGCUGCAUAAACAUGUAGCAGAAAAGACUGUCCUACAGUACUUGAAGCCUAAUGAAGACCAAGUUUUAGGUCGCUAUCACCUUUUCCUCAGGGAGAGGAAUUCAAGGACCAUUUCUGAACGCAAGGAGUGAAAAAGGACAAAAAGUUCCCUCGAUCCUGUAAAGUACAGACUGGUUUGGAAUAGUGAGCUAUGAGCAAGGGGAGAACCAGGACUUUCUUUUUAAUAGUGAUGGAUUGAACAAGGCUAGUCCUAUAGCCAGGUAAGUCAUGCCCCACAU